rnacentral:rRNA from 1 species
UACAGAGGUUGCAAACGUUGUUCGGAAUUACUGGGCAUAAAGCGCGCGUAGGCGGUCCGUUAAGUCAUGUGUGAAAUCCCCCGGCUCAACCGGGGAAUUGCGCCUGAUACUGGCGGGCUAGAGAUCGGUAGGGGUGAGUGGAACUCCAGGUGGAGCGGUGAAAUGCGUAGAUAUCUGGAGGAACACCGGUGGCGAAAGCGGCUCACUGGAUCGAUACUGACGCUGAGGUGCGAAAGCUAGGGUAGCAAACGGG